AUUUUAUACGAGAUCAGUAAUAAGUAAAGCUAACUCAAAAAACUUACUAAUGUAUCAAAUUAAUUAAACUUAUAAGAUCAGUAAUAAGUUAAGCUAAUAUUACGAAGUAAAGUUUGUAUGAGAAUAUAAUCAUUUAAAAUGCUCACAAGACGCUAAAUGUUGUGACCAUAUAAACCUUUAGUUUACAGUUUAGAGUGUUAUCAUUAU
rnacentral:lncRNA from 1 species